UACAGAGGUCCCAAGCGUUGUUCGGAUUUACUGGGCGUAAAGGGUGCGUAGGUGGCGGGGUAAGUCUGGUGUGAAAUCUCCGAGCUCAACUCGGAAAAGCAUUGGAAACUAUCCCGCUAGAGGGUCGGAGGGGAGACUGGAAUUCUCGGUGUAGCAGUGAAAUGCGUAGAUAUCGAGAGGAACACCAGUGGCGAAGGCGAGUCUCUGGACGACUCCUGACACUGAGGCACGAAAGCUAGGGGAGCGAAUGGG
rnacentral:rRNA from 1 species